rnacentral:rRNA from 1 species
UCUACGGGAGGCAGCAGUGAGGAAUAUUGGUCAAUGGGCGAGAGCCUGAACCAGCCAAGUCGCGUGAAGGAUGACGGCCCUACGGGUUGUAAACUUCUUUUGUCAGGGCGCAAUUGGGUCCACGCGUGGGCUUAGCGAGAGUACCUGAAGACAAAGCAGCGGCUAACUCCGUGCCAGCAACCGCGGUAAUACGGAGGAUGCGAGCGUUAUCCGGAUUUAGUGGGUGUAAAGGGUGCGUAGGCGGAAUAUUAAGUACGCGUGAACAAUUCGGGGCAAAUCCCCGUCGUGCCGUAGAAACUGAUGUUCUUGAGUGGGCGAGAAGUAUGCGGAAUGCGUGGUGUAGCGGUGAAAUGCAUAGAUAUCACGCAGAACUCCGAUUGCGAAGGCAGCAUACCGGCGCCCAACUGACGCUGAAGCACGAAAGCGUGGGUAUCGAACAGGAUUAGAUACCCCUGUAGUC